rnacentral:rRNA from 1 species
CAUAUCAAUAAGCGGAGGAAAAGAAACUAACAAGGAUUCCCCUAGUAACUGCGAGUGAAGCGGGAAAAGCUCAAAUUUAAAAUCUGGCAGUCUUUGGCUGUCCGAGUUGUAAUCUAGAGAAGCGACAUCCGCGCUGGACCGUGUACAAGUCUCCUGGAAUGGAGCGUCAUAGAGGGUGAGAAUCCCGUCUUUGACACGGACUGCCAGGGCUUUGUGAUGCGCUCUCAAAGAGUCGAGUUGUUUGGGAAUGCAGCUCAAAAUGGGUGGUAAAUUCCAUCUAAAGCUAAAUAUUGGCGAGAGACCGAUAGCGAACAAGUACCGUGAGGGAAAGAUGAAAAGAACUUUGGAAAGAGAGUUAAACAGUACGUGAAAUUGCUGAAAGGGAAACGCUUGAAGUCAGUCGCAUUGUCCAGGGAUCAACCUUGCUUUUGCUUGGUUUACUUUCUGGUUGAUGGGUCAGCAUCAAUUUUGACUAUUGGAAAAAGGUCAGGGGAAUGUGGCAUCCUUGGAUGUGUUAUAGCCCUUGGUUGUAUACAAUGGUUGGGAUUGAGGAACUCAGCACGCCGCAAGGCCGGGUUUUAAACCACGUACGUGCUUAGGAUGCUGGCAUAAUGGCUUUAAUCGACCCGUCUUGAAACACGGACCAAGGAGUCUAACAUACCUGCGAGUGUUUGGGUGGAAAACUCGAGCGCGUAAUGAAAGUGAAAGUUGAGAUCCCUGUCGUGGGGAGCAUCGACGCCCGGACCAGACCUUUUGUGACGGCUCCGCGGUAGAGCAUGUAUGUUGGGACCCGAAAGAUGGUGAACUAUGCCUGAAUAGGGUGAAGCCAGAGGAAACUCUGGUGGAGGCUCGUAGCGAUUCUGACGUGCAAAUCGAUCGUCAAAUUUGGGUAUAGGGGCGAAAGACUAAUCGAACCAUCUAGUAGCUGGGUUCCUGCC